UUUGUUGAUGGCAAUGGUGUCAGAAACUAUUAGGCACCAGGAGAAUGCUAAUAAAUGAGACAUGGUCCCUACCUUAGAGAGGCACAAUGGUUAGUGGAAGAAAAGGCUCUCUAAGCGCUGAUGGAUGAGUAGGAGCUUUCUGAGGAGGGUAGAUGAGGCAUUUCAAUGGAAAAGGAAAAAGAACAAAACACAGAGCCCUGGAGGAGUAUUUCUUGAUUAAAUGGUUAGUUGUUUGGAACGGCUCGAGCUUAGGACACACAGGGGCAAGUCUCUGGAAAUGAACUUGGGCAGAGACGCUGUGUUGAGAAUUAUGCUAAGAAGUUUGGACCCUAUACCAAGUGCUAAUUGAAGGCAUUAGAUAAAAGGAUUACUAGGUUAGACUUGUGUUUGAGAAUGGUAACUUGGCACUUUCAUGGGAGGUGGAUGGAGAAGGGGGUGAACCUGGAGUCAGAGAAAAUAGUCAAUGGAAGAAUUUGGAUAGUCCAGGGGAGGGUGACAGGGUGCCGAAGCUGGAGGAUAGAUGGAUGCAAGGGACAUUUCAGAGAUAAAGUGAGGAGGACUUGGUGACCAAGUGAGGAGGCCGUGUCCGUGUCUCUGGGAGCUUGAUGAGGCUAGGGAAGAGGAAGAACUACAAUUCACUUACUUGGUGCUUACUCUGUGUGAGCACCACACUAAGCACUAGAGAUCCAAAAACAAGUAGGGGGUGGGGGCGCCUGUGCUUAAGUAGCUGGGAGGAGUGGCAAGGGUCAUAAUAAAUACACACAGUGCAAAGCCAUGUGUGCAAUGGUAUGUGCACUGAAAUUGUGCACGAGAGGCUGCCAACAAUUCUAAUUUAUUUUUAUUUUUAUUUUUAGCUCCAGUGACUUGGAGAACACAGCUGAUGUGUUCUUGAAUAAGAGAGGGAAAAUGGAAGAAGAGUAGGGUUCUGGAGGUCUUGCAUGCAUUGGUUUCGAUGUUCACAAGGCGGUUGCAACUUCAGAUUUUCCAGCAAUAGUCAGUCACAGUCUAGCUCAUCCUGGAUGUGCAAGAGUUACAGAAAAAGAAAAAAAACAGUAGUUGUCUUUAAAAAACCCUGCUGGCAUAAUGAUUUUCCUUUUAAAUGUUUUUGUUAUGAAUAUAAAGAGGGCGGGGGGAGAGAGAGAGAGAGACAGAAAGAAAGAGAGACAGACUAUUAAUUGCCUCUUUACCUCCCACAGUCCUGGCUUGGGUUUAAAACAUUCUUCCUGCAUUAAUUAAGGGUUCUGUCUGUUUACCCUGAAAACUUCUGGUUCAAUUAUUUAAAAAAAAAUUGAAAUAGCGCUGGAGAUGAAAUUUGUUUUCAUUUUGCAGGCAAGAGGAUGAUAUCCUGAGGGCCUCAUAAUCAGUGUCCCCUAGUAAAGGUCAGAUGACCCAUAUCUUUACCGUGGUCUUACCUGAUACGGAUUCAACAGGAAUUAUGGGUAGACUCAUGCAAAACAUUCCAUAGUCUGCAAAGAUUAAUGAACGAGCCAAGUAAAAUUUCUUCUGGGGAGCUCAACGAAUUGGGCCUGCGCGGUCUCAGUUUCCACACUCAUCGUGAGCUUCUGAGAUACUAGUUCACUAAGGAACAGUCAUAACCCUGAUAUUAGAAAUCAGGGAUGACAUAUGAUGCAAGAUGUUCCAUCCCGUAGUGGGAGAGAAGUUUCAUGCAUCACUGUGUUCGGGAGGAAGGAAAGUAAAACUUGGAAACUUUGGAGAACAGAUCCUCUGUGUGAGCACAGAGAAGGCAUCUGAGAGCAGGUGUUAUCACCGCACGGUGGUUCUCAAGCCUUAGGAUUUCACGGACCUGCUGAGCACUGGGGCUUGGGAGACCAGUAACAUUUUAUUCUGUCGAUGUGAAAACCUAUCAUCUACUACGGCCCUAAUUCUUUUUUUUUUUUAAGAUUUUAUUUAUUUAUUCAUGAGAGACACACAGAGAGAGGCAGACACACAGGCAGAGGGAGAAGCAGGCUGCACGCAAAGAGCCCGAUGCAGAACUCGAACCCAGUACCCCGGGGUCACACUCUGAGCUGAAGGCAGACACUCGACCACUGAGCCACCCGGGCCUCCCUACUAUCACCCUAAUUCACGGGAAGUUUUCACACCGAGUGCAGGGAGUGCAGGAAGGCCACUGCUGCAGGGAUCGGUGCACUUGCAACACAGCUGGACUACAUUUCCAGCUGCCCCACGGCCACGACUGGUGGUGUCCAGCCCAGCAUCCUAAGGCCCAGUGUGGAGAGCUGGAGUUUUGAGAAGAAAGACAGUGGCCUCCUUAGCAGAGUCCUUCACAGGUCAUUGGUCAAAUGUCAUUUUACUAGCAAGUUUUUCUGCGUAUAACUUGCAAACCUACACUCAUCCAGGACUGCAGUUGCCAUCUGACACAUUUUUGUGGAUUGUAUCUUCACACUAGGAUACAGGUACUAUAAGAGCAGGGUUUUUUUUUUUUUUAAAUUAUUUUUUAUUAUUUUAUUUUUGUAUCUUUUGUUCACUUCUGUAUCCCUGGUAUCUAGAAAAGUUCCUGGCUUCUAAUAAGUCCUUAAUAAAUAUUAGUUGAAUUAGUAUGGUUGCUGUUGUUGAAGGGAUCCCUGACAUGGACAUGUUGCUUAUUCCCAUGAUCUUUCUAAAAUAUGCUUCCUUUUGUUAGUCCUUUGUUUAAAAAUCCUCAGGUAGUUUCUCUUUGCUUUCAAAAUAAAUUUCAGAUUUCUUUACAUGGCCCGGAAGGCCUUCUCAACCUCUCCCUGAUGACAUUGUCAGUCCCACUUUGGGCCACUCAAUUCUUUCUAGUCUACUCCUCUGCCAUAUUGAAGUAUUUGCAGGGCCCAGUGAAGCCACGGCCUUUGUCAUCUUCUGAGUUUUGCACAUGGCCGUUUCUCCUUUGAGGACACUUCCUACCCCUCUCAUCCUUGAGGAUUCAGCUUUAGACCUCAUUUCUUCUGGAAAGAUUAUCUACCCUGAGGGCCGAGUUAGUCCAACAUUGCAUAAUUUGCAUUAGACUUACAUCAUAGCACCCAUCAUGGUGUAUUUUGCUAGCCUAAUUUAUUAUGAUUUAGAAUAAGACUGUUUUGGUCGGCUUGGGCUACCGUAACAAAAUAUCAUGAUUGGGUGGCUUAAACCACAGAAAUUUACUUUGCAUACUUCUGCAGGCUGGAAGUCUGAGAUCAGGGUGCCAGGAUGGUUGAGUUCUGGUGAGAGCUGUCUUCCUGGCUUGCAGUUGGCUGCCCUCUCUCUGUGCACUCGCAUGGCCUUUCCUGUGCGUGGAGAGACAGAGAGAGACACGUCUUCUUGUUAUAAGGCCACCAAUCUUAUUGGACUAGGAUCCCACCGUAUGGCCUUAUUUAACCUUAGGAAUUUUAACCUUAAAUCUUAGGAAUUUUAACCUUAAACCUUAGGAAGUUUAAACUUUAACCUCCUAAAAGCCUUAUCUCUAAAUAGAGUCACAUUGGAGUUUAGCAUAUGGACUUUAUUGGGGGAUGGGCACAAUUCCAUUCACAGCAAUGGCCCUACUUUGAAUUCUGUUAGUUAAAAUGUCACACAUCCACCAAAUAGGGACUAAUAUAUUUCCAGCAAAGGCAUAUGAGAAUGAAAUGGGAAAGAAAGAAGAAGCUGAAUUAUUAGGAACCCACCAGAGAAAAAGGACUGAUUCUGGGACUAUGUGCCUGCUGCCAUGCUGGAGUCUUACAGACUCUCCACCAUGGUCACACUGAGUGAGGAUAAUGCUCAGGGUGGAAGGCUGUAGACAUCUUUGGCAUGUUUCAGACAGUGUUUGAUACUGGGAAGACCAGUCUAGAUAAAAAAUAUUCCAGGAUGCCAUCAAUUAAAAAAAAAAAAAAAAAAGAAUGAACAAGACCAGCACUGGAGAUCUACAAGGAAGGAUAAGAUCCAAGUCUCAGAGGAUGGAACCAGGUGGAGAUCAGGAUGGUGUAGCCAACCUUACAUGAAGGUGUUUAGCAGGGAAACAGAAUCUGGGUCUUUUGUACCAAAUAAUUUGUCCCAAAGGUACUUGGUUUGGUAAUGGGGGAGAAGAGAAGCUCAGCCCUAUAGGGAGGGCCCAGGGGGUGUGUCAUGGUUCUGAGGACACUCCUGGGAAUUUGGCAGUAUGAGAGUUUUAGGUGGCUCCAAGGGAGUGUAGCAGCUGUGACUGGAUCCUGGAUCCCAGAAUUGGAAACCUUAGUUAACGCCUCAUGAUUAUUCCUAUAAUCUCAAGAGUCUCCUCAUAGUCAUGGCCAACUGGAGUUUCCAGAGUCACCUCAGAAAUACAAAGAAAAAGUCAUUUCAUAAUAACUGGCAAUCUUCAUUAUCAGAAUGUCAGGAGCCUCCAGGGGAAAGAGCCGUGUAAUGUCUCGAGCUUUGGAUCCAGGCUUACAGCAAUCACAGAAGGAUGUUGUCCCCAGGAGAAAUCUUUCUUCUCUAAUAGGAGGGAAGACUUUUGAUAUCAAAACUUAGAUAACAGGCAAACAGUUCCUCCAGAUUCCUACUGCCUGAGGCCUUCUGCAGUCAAGGCCUGCAUCAGAUUUCCAAAUAUCCAAAUUGUCUAACUUUUACAUACCAUAGGGGAUCAUGGAGGGUUGUCAGGAUGUCUUAACAGAGCUAUCUCUGCCAAAAAUAAAAGGAGCCAGGCGUUUAUCUGCAGAUUUGUAAGGCAUUGAAAUAAUUCUGUCUUCUGACUACCAAAUCCCAAGCAGCGGAAGAGAUAUGGAUGAUUUCAAGAUUGUUCCAAAAUCACUUUAUGGUUUAAAUUGUUCUUACUCACUUUAUGGUUUCUGCCAUUCUGAUUUACUCUUCAGCCCGCACACCCAAGGUGCCUGUAAAUCGUGACCAGCUUACAUUAUUCUGCAGGAUGCAGGAUGGCACAGAGAUGCGGAGUCUUGGGUUAUUGACACUGGGGCUUCAGCUUGUAAGCAUCAACUUUUUUUGCUUAGGGAAUGACUUUACUAAGAAUUUGUCUUAUUAAAGGGUUCUUAAAAAAAUAAAAAUAAAGAGUUCUUAGUGAAACCAUGCCUGUAAAUGUCCACACCCAAUACAUGUGAGAUGUUAUCAUAUUUAUAUUUCCCAGACUGGAGCAUACACUGUACGAGGACAAGAGAUGCCCUUAAUUAUCUCCAGGUCUUCGUAUAGGCUGUAGCACAUGACAAGUGGCCAAUGAUAAUUCAGUGAAUAAGGAGAUAGACUAUUGCACUUAUCUGGACCACAUUAGGCCACACCCGUCCCUUAGCUCCCUAUGAAAAGAUGGAGAUUCAGGGACCUCUCAUUAAUGACGAUAACAUGCCUUGCAAAAUAUAUUGUAAGUUGUGAAAAGACAAUCUAAAAUUUUAGUACAAAUUAAUGUUUCUUUGCAUAUACUGCUAGUAUAUGUACACUGAACUACUGUUUUCAGUGAUCUCGAAUGUUUUUAAUCUGAGCAAUAAUGUAAUUGUUUUAACUUGUAGGUGCCCAAGAGCCACCUGGUAUACUUGUCCAUAUGCAGAAUCCUGGGCCCCAUUAUUGAGAUUUUGAAUCUUAGGUCUAAAGGGGAAUUUGUAUUUUUAUAAAGAUUUAUUUAUUUGAGAGGUGGAGAGAGAGAGAGACAGAAAGACAGAG